AGACAACAAAACAUUGUCGCUUAGCCACCACCAAAUUGGACUGUAGAUUCUUUCAAUGAUCUUUUAUUCAUGUUAAUUUUUCCUCUCAAGCAUCUCUUGGCAAGAGGAAUUAGCAAAGAGGUUUGAAAGGUCUCUAGGGGCAUCGUUGGCAGUUCUCCCAAACCAGAAAUUUUCGAGGACCAAGUGAUGUUGCAGAAGCAUGUUGAACAAGCACUUCAGGCAGGGGGUUUCGCCUCAGUGAUCAGAGGUGCUGGCGUCCCUGGGAAGAAAACCUUCAAGACCUCCAACCAUCUGAGGACAUUUUCUCCACAUCCUUUUGGCUGUCUCUCCUGACUGUAUAUUACAGACAUAAAAUGUCUUUCAAAAUAUCUGUAGAAGACCAAACAAAGGAUCUAACAUGGACUGUGCACCGAGCACACGCCAGGCGUGAGUCGGGAGUUUCACACAUUGAGUUGAGUGCAGGUGAGGACACUGGAGAUUCUAGGAGUGGUAUGGCUGUCUCUAUUUUCUUGCUGUGUGACCUUGAACAAGCUACUUAAACUCUCUGGGCCAUUGCUUCCUCACCUGUAAAAUGGGAAUAAUUCAUACCUUUACCUCCCAGCUCUGUGUAGAGAGGGCUCUGGAGUCAGAUGAUUUGGCCUGUAGUCCUGAUGCUGCCCCAUACUCUGUGUGACUUUAGCAGGGGGUCAUUUCACCCCCGAGGCUGGAAGC
rnacentral:lncRNA from 1 species